GUAAGGAAUAUUGGGCAAUGGACGCAAGUCUGACCCAGCCAUGCCGCGUGCAGGAUGAAGGCCCUAUGGGUUGUAAACUGCUUUUAUACGGGAAAAAACCCUUGCUCGUGAGCGAGGCUGAUUGUACCGUAGGAAUAAGCAUCGGCUAACUCCGUGCCAGCAGCCGCGGUAAUACGGAGGAUGCAAGCGUUAUCCGGAUUCAUUGGGUUUAAAGGGUGCGCAGGCGGAAUUAUAAGUCAGUGGUGAAAGCCCCUCGCUCAACGAGGGAACUGCCAUUGAUACUGUUAUUCUUGAGUAUAGUUGAGGUAGGCGGAAUGUAUCAUGUAGCGGUGAAAUGCAUAGAUAUGAUACAGAACACCGAUAGCGAAGGCAGCUUACCAAACUAUAACUGACGCUCAUGCACGAAAGCGUGGGGAUCAAACAGGAUUAGAAACCCCUGUAGUCC
rnacentral:rRNA from 1 species